rnacentral:snRNA from 1 species
AUCGCUUCUUGGCCUUUUGGCUAAGAUCGAGUGUAGUAUCUGUUCUUAUCCAUUUAAUAUGUGGUCAUACUUCUUUUGACCAUUU